GAAAAAACUUUCAAUAAAAAAAUAUAAAAAUUCAAAAAAUUUUCUUCCAUCGAAUUUUUUUAUUUAAUUUUUUUAUUAUUUCAUUUGUUUUUUUUUUUUAGCAGCUACUUGGUGGAGAAUGACGACAAAAGAUGUUUUUUUAAAAAAAAUAUAGAAAAAAUAGAAAAAAAAACAAAAACAACAACAAAAUAGGAAAAAAAUAAAAGAAAAAAAAUUGAAAAUGUGAAUUUUUCUCAAAUAUAGAGAAAAGGUUAAAAAAAUUUAUUCCAAAAGAACAAAAGAAAAAAAUAACAAGAAAAUUUUUAUUAAUCAAAAAAAAAAAGGGAAAACAAAAGAAAAAAAAAAGUUGACUAAAUUUUUGGGUUUUUUCCGCUUUUUCCGUUUUUGCUGUACAGUUGAUUUUUUCCUAUUUGUUUUUUUAUUAUUCCUUACAAAUUCAGAAUAGAAACUAUUCGAGCAUGAAAAAUUUUUUUGAAAAAAAAAAGGAGAGAUAAGAGAAACGAAAACAAUACAAAAACAAUAAAAAAAAAACUAUAAAGAAAAAAAAAGAGAAGAAAACAAAUUUUCACGUAUCCCAGGUUUCAGCAACUUUAUUUAUUUUAUUUUUAUUUUUUUGAUUAUUUUAAUAUUUUCCACAUUUUUGUUUUUUAAUAAUACCGAGACUAAUACCAUAAAAUCUAUUCAAUUAUGGUUUUAAUGGAUUUUUGAAGAAAAAAAAAACAAAACAAAAUGAAAAAUCGAAAAUUGAAAAUUCUCAUGCUAUAAAAUAAAAAAACACAGAGAGAAA